AUCUAGCUCACCCUUAUAUCCCUGCACACUUUUUUCCUUCUGAAGAAUCUUCUCUUUUGAGUUCUCAGGAGAGGAGCUGCAGAAGGGGAAAUGGCUGCCGCAACCGCAUCUCCCAUGGCCACUCAGCUCAAGAGCAGCUUUGCCUCGUCGUCGUCGUCCUCGGCCAGGAGCCUGAUUGCCCCCAAGGGCCUCUCUGGUUCCUCCUUCAGAGCCUUGCCCACCAGGAGGACUCACUCCUUCACUGUCAAGGCUAUCCAAUCCGAGAAGGUGAGUCUUCUCGCGUCCAUCCUGCUUUGUGUAUUACGAGUCACGAUUCGAUCGGACGUGCUUGUGCAGCGUAAAAUUCAAUGAAUUGGUCUUUCAAACAUCUUUAUGUUAUUCUCUAGUCAUCUGACUUGUUUAGCUAGUCUUGGAAGAAGAAAAUGAGACUUGAAGAUAAUGAGUGGAAGUUCUUCUCUUCCACCAUUCAGUCUAGUUUCUCAUUCUUGGUUCACCCUUCUUAGUCUUUUGGAUCUGUGUAUAUAGAAGAAUAAUUUCACAUGGCAUAGGGUUGCAAGAAGCUAGUCUUUCUGUAUUUGAACUGAUUGAGCUAAUCCGAGUGUAAAGGUCACCGUGAUUGGAUUUCCGCUGUGUGAUUUUUUCUGUCAGCAGUAAUUUUUUGUAGCUUGCUAAAAGAGCCAACUAAGAGAUUAUAGCUUCCAAUAUAGAAGGGGGAGGUGGGGGAUUUAAUCCCCCACUUUCUCGAGAGGGUGAGAUGGGGACGAUUUAGUUUCAAGUGUGGGUUUUGAUUUUCAUGUAAGGAGGUAGGAUAAAAAUCUAAAAAUGAUUAGUUUCAAGUGUGGGUUUUGAUUUUCACGUAAGGAGGUAGGAUAAAAAUCUAAAAAUGAGAAUUAGAGUAGAAGUAGAGUAUGAUUAAUUAGAAAAAAAAAAAAAACCUUAGAGAUUAUAGCAUGUUAUCAUUCAUUUGUGAAUACAUAUUCUCUGAGUGGCUCCAUUCACUCGUUACAUUAGUUGAUGGGUUUCAAUUCCUGCAUCUACCUUCGCAUGCAGCCAACCUUCCAAGUGGUUCAACCCCUCAAUGGUGACCCUUUCAUUGGAAGCCUCGAGACUCCGGUCACAUCCAGCCCGCUCAUUGCAUGGUACCUCUCCAACCUCCCCGCCUACAGGACUGCCGUGAACCCGCUCCUCCGAGGCGUCGAGGUGGGCCUCGCCCACGGAUUCCUCUUGGUGGGCCCUUUCGUCAGGCCGGCCCUUUGAGACACGAGUAUGCAGAGCAGCAGAUCAUUGGCCGCCGAGCCUGUGUGAUCCUGAGCAUCUGCUUGANNNNNNNNNNNNNNNNNNNNNNNNNNNNNNNNNNNNNNNNNNNNNNNNNNNNNNNNNNNNNNNNNNNNNNNNNNNNNNNNNNNNNNNNNNNNNNNNNNNNGUGUGGGGGUUGUUUUCCAAACAUUGUGGAUGUUUUCCCCCAACGCAAUGGCAGUUCAAAACAUGACGUGAAAGUGGGUAAAAGUCGUGAUUUCUGACUGAUGCAUUAUUGGGUGUCUUGGCUUGGCCAUGAGGGCCUUUUGCCGAAGUGGAUAAGAUGGGAUAAGGUCACGGCCACCAUCCAACCAAUCAAGCCCCUCCAACCUUACACUUCACUCCUCUCCGACCACAAGAUUUCAUGCAAUAGAUCCUCUCACCCUGCUCCCAAAAUCUAACUCAACCCUCUUCUCCGUUAUAUACCUGCACGCUUUUUUCCUCCCGAAGAAUCUUCUCCUCUUUUUGAGUUGUCAGGAGAGGAGCUGCAGAAGGGAAAAUGGCUGCCGCAACCGCAUCUCCCAUGGCCAGUCAGCUCAAGAGCAGCUUUGCAUCAUCAUCGUCCAGGAGCCUGAUUGCUCCCAAGGGCCUCUCUGGUUCCUCCUUCAGAGCCUUGCCCACCAGGAGGACUCGCUCCUUCACUGUCAAGGCUAUCCAAUCCGAGAAGGUGAGUCUUCUCGCGUCCAUCCUGCCUUGUGUAUCACGAGUCACGAUUCGAUCGAACGUGCUUGUGCCGCGUAAAAUCAAGGAAUUGGUCUUUCAGACAUCUUUAUGUUAUUCUCUAGUCAUCUGACUUGUUUAGCUAGUCUUGGAAGAAGAAAAUGAGACUUGAAGAUAAUGAGUGGAAGUGCCUUCUCUUCCACCAUUCAGUCUAGUUUCUCAUUCUUGGUUCACCCUUCUUAGUCCUUUGGAUCUGUGUAUAUAGAAGAAUAAUUUCACAUGGCAUAGGGUUGCAAGAAGCUGGUCUUUUUGUAUUUGAACUGAUUGAGCUAAUCCGAGAGUAAAGGUCACCGUGAUUGGAUUUCUGCUGUGUGAUUUUUUCUGUAGUGAUAAUUUUUUGUAGCUUGCUAAAAGAGUCAACUAAGAGAUUAUAGCUUCCAAUAUGGAAGAGGGGUGAGGGGUUCGAAUCUCACUUCUUUAUCGAGAAGGUGAGAUGGGAACGAUUUAGUUUCAAAUAUAAGUUUUGAUCUCAUGCCCUUGCAAGAAAGCGAGACAAAAGUCUGAGAGUGAAUUAGAGUAGGAGUAGAGUAGGAUCGACAAAAAACAAAAAGAAAAACUAAGAGAUUAUAGCAUGCUAUCAUUCAUUUGCAAAUACAUAUUCUCUGAGUGACUUCAUUCACUCAUUACAUUAGUUGAUGGGUUUCAAUUCCUGCAUCUACCUUUUGCAUGCAGCCAACCUUCCAAGUGGUUCAACCCCUCAAUGGUGACCCUUUCAUUGGAAGCCUCGAGACUCCGGUCACAUCCAGCCCGCUCAUUGCAUGGUACCUCUCCAACCUCCCCGCCUACAGGACUGCCGUGAACCCGCUCCUCCGAGGCGUCGAGGUGGGCCUCGCCCACGGAUUCCUCUUGGUGGGCCCUUUCGUCAAGGCCGGCCCUUUGAGGAACACGGAGUAUGCAGGAGCAGCAGGAUCAUUGGCCGCCGGAGGCCUGGUUGUGAUCCUGAGCAUCUGCUUGACAAUGUAUGGGAUCGCCUCAUUCAAUGAAGGAGAGCCCUCGACAGCACCGUCGCUAACCUUGACCGGGAGGAAGAAGGAGCCUGAUCAGUUGCAGACCGCAAAUGGAUGGGCCAAGUUCACCGGCGGGUUCUUCUUCGGCGGGAUCUCCGGGGUCACAUGGGCCUACUUUCUCCUCUAUGUGCUCAACCUUCCUUACUUUGUGAAGUAAAUUCAU
rnacentral:lncRNA from 1 species